GCGCCCCGCACGCCAAGACGCGUGCAGGAAAGCGGAAGCAUACGGGAGGGCCGAGCCAACGCCGCUGGGCAGGUUUCAAAGGAAGGGACGAAGGAGACUCGAGGGACAGCCCGAAGCGUCAGGCGCUUCGGACAAUAACCGAACAGCUGCACCGUCUAGAUCAAGCCACACGCAUAACCCACACACCGCUCAUCCGCCACCACGGUCCGCAAACACAGUACGCCCGGACGAACCGCGCCCCGCACGCCUAGGCGCGUGCAGGCAAGCGGAAGCGCACGAGGUAGCCGAGUCAGCGCCGCUGGGCAGGGUUCGGGGGAAGCGACGAAGAACAUUCAAGGGACAGCCAGAUGCGUGAGGUGCUUCGGGCGAUAGCCGAGCAGUCGCACCCACGCCUUGGAGC